GUAACGCCAUGGGGGUAGGAAGCCCGGAACUAUUCUCCGUCUCCUGUGAGAAGCCAGGGUAGCAGAUAAGGACAGACUUGAGAGUUCUUCACUAGAAACAUCACAGUGUGACUUUUAACCAUUGUAACUGCUCUGGAAAUCCAACCACCCUGGAGCCAUAUCAAGAAGCAACGAUCUGCAACUAAACCUGCAACUGACUACCUCUACAGUGCACCUUAAUUGUUGGUGUGGUUUAGGAGACCACAGCUCUUGGUAGGAUUUCAAAGAAGCAGGUUUCUUUAUUCUUAAUUCUCUGUCUUGGUUCAAAAAAGCAGGAAGUCCUAAGCUUAGUUACACACUUGCUGAAAGUUUAUGAAGAAGUAGUUUGCUGAAAAAAAAAUCAGGUAUAUCAAUAAGCGCAAUCAUCAUCAUCGUCAUCAGCAUCAAAAGCAGCAGCACUCUCAUCACUGUCAGCAUCAUCAACAGCAGCACCACUCUUACCGUUGUUAUCAACAGUAUCAUUGUCAUCAUCAUCGUCAGCGUCAACAGCAGUAUCACUCUUACCAUUGUUAUCAUCAACAGCAUCAUUGUCAUCAACAACAUCAUCAUCAUCAUCAACCACAGGAGCAGUAGCAGCUUCACCACCAUCAGAACAUCCUGUACUCUAGGACUCAAGAGGAUAAUAUCACCAUACUCAUGAUGAAGCCUUGAAAAGCACAGGCACUGUUAAGACAUGUGAUGAAACAGUUCGUAGAUUAAUGUUUCAGAAAGUAAAAAGGGUGUAAAAUUCAAUCUGACUGACAAGGAGGAGCUAUUACACUUUGCUCUAAGCCCUAGAACCCUCAUCUCCAGCACAAACCAACCUUGUCAAAUCACAGAAGGUAUUCCUUCUGCUGUCACACCUAGGUCAGUUACUCCCUCAAUGCAAGAUGUCCAACACAUCUGUUUCCUCAAUGCAGGAGGUCCAACACACCUGCUUCCUCAGUGCAGGAGGUCCAACACACUGCUCCCUCAAUGAGAGAGGUUCAACACACCUUCUCCAACAAUGCAGAAGGCCCAACACACCUGCUCCCUCAGCACAGGAGACCUAAUAUAACCUGACAAGCUCUCUUCAAGGUCCAAGGGCUCUGCAUACAGAGAAAACAACAAACCAAAGCCAAACAAAGCAACAACAACAGAAGAUGAGAGAAGUUGAAGCAAAGUUUGCCUUUCCUCUGCUAAAUCUCUAUGCUCCCGUCUUUAAAGAGGGGGUCAGAAGGACAGUCGGGCAUCUUUAAGACUUCCAUCAAUUCAUGCAUGUAUUCAAAAACCAAUGCAGUACAUGUUAUGUAAUAUUAUUUUCCUUGCUGAGUUUUCAGACCAUAUUUUUUUGUGCUGUACUUUUCUCUCUGUGUGACAGUAGUUAGAAUAGGCAGGAGGAAAGACAAGAGGAAUUCUCAUCUCUAUAUGGAGUGUUGCUGCUAAAAUGAGCAGUAUCAUGCUGUGAGAACCCUGCACAGUUACUUGGGGAAAUGACACUCAGUAUAGCUGUUUUGCAAAUUGUUAUCAGUCCAUUAAGAAAUGAGGAAUCUGUGCCAGCUUGAACAAACACACUGAGUCCUACAUCAAGAAACAUUUUCUGUAAAAAAUAAAAACACUGAAUAAGUCAAGUUGCACACAACAUGAAGAUGGAGCACACCCUGUGUCCAUAGAUUCUUGAGUGAAAAAUAUGCCCAAAACAGAACAGCAAAAACAACUUGUAAUGGAUGUGAUGGACCCAGGUGUCUCUAUAGUCUUGUACAUUUCAUAUUGUAGUUUCUAUGGCAGUGCCUAGAGUUCUUUUAGGUGUGGCAUAAGUAAGAUUUGGCAUAGAAACAGAUGUGUUGUUCCCAAGCAGGUGUGCUCGCUACUUGUUAACCAAAUUCUUAAAAAAUGAGAAGGUGAGUGGAGAGAAAUAUGGCACUCUUUUAACUGAUGAAGUAGGCAGAUUAAGACAUUUUUAUUCUUUUCUUGAAGCAUUGUCUCACUAUGUAGCCUAGGUUAGCUUUGAACCCAUGCUCCUUCCUCACCUUUCUAAGUAAGAGAGUCACCUGUGUUGGCCACGGCUCCCAGCAGAAGGUUUACUGCUCCUUCUCAGCUCAUUGACCAACUCUUUUCUGGUAGUUAUCUGGCUAACACAAUAGAUUUAGUAAUAGUACUUUCCAUUUUCUCAUUUUUUGUUUAUGAAGCAAAUCAGAAAGCUAAGAAACACUUUUGAUUGAAGAGAAUAGAUGCUCAGAGAUAGAGUGACUUGCCAAGGAUUACAAUGGCCAAAAGUAGACAGAGGUGGAUCAGAGAUCUUUUGACCGUUAUUCCUUAGCUUUUGCCUACUUUUUCUAAAGUGGUAGGGAUUUGACUGAAGCAUUUACGAAACAAACCCAAUAGCACAAACAUGCAUAGUCCCUUCUGCAACACCAGAGGUACAGAGCACUAAAGCAUCUAGUCGUUGAAAUUAGUAUUCCGCUGUAAGUUGAAUUAUAAAUUAUGUCCAAGAUACAAAGUCACAUAAUACUAGGGCCAAAUAUAUUCUCAAUAGACUAUCUGAUGUUGGUGUAAACACAAAGAAAAGUGAGACACACUAAUUCCUCAAUGAAUGAUCACUGUUACUCUCUUCUACACUAUGUAUUUAGAGAAAAAAUGAUAGGAUUAAGAAAACAAUUUAUCAAAUUAAUAAAAAUCCUCCAAAUUAAUCCCAGGCCUCUGAUUUUGAUGAAGAACCUGAAAAAGAUCACUACUAGAGAAAAAUUCUGUAUCACUUGACAUUUAAUGUGAAAUCACUUAUCAAGUUGGCAAUAAUGAGGUGCUGCUAGCCGUCAUUUGUUACAAACCACAGAAAAAGUGCUUUCCUGUGGGUGUGAGGCAAUCGAGUGCUGUGCUUCAAUAGAGCAGUGGUUCUCACCCUCCCUAAUGGUACAACCCUUCAAUACAGUUCCUCAUGCUGUGGUGACCCUCAACCAUAAAAUUAUUUGCAUUGUUACUUCAUAACUAUAAUUUUGUUACUGUUACAUAUUAUAACAUAAACAAUUUCGAAGAUAGAGGUUUGCCAAAGGUCAUGGCCCACAGUGUGAGAACCACUGCCAUAGAUCAAGUCAAAGAAAACCAACACAACUUAGAGCUGGCCUUUUAAAAGUUAGUGCCUUUUCCUUGCCUUCCUAAGGCACUUGUUAUACAGUAGAGUCACGUUCUGUACUUGAUGCCAUGCAAAAAUACUGUUGUAUUAGCCAAAACCUUUAAAAGUGGCCUUAAAUCUUUAGCUUAGUAUUGCCAGAGAAAAUGGAUCAUCUAAUGUACCAACAUGUACAUAGAAAUAAACAUAAUAGUUAGAAAUAUGGCUCAUGAGACAAACCGAAGAUUGAUUCACUUAACUAGAAUUGGAAAUUUUAGGGUAUGGAGAGAACAUUUCAUCAAUACAGUGCUUGCCUUGCACACAUGAGGGCUUGAGUUUGAUUCCCAGAACUACUGUUUUGAAAAGCCAGGUAUGGUGGGAUAGGAAGGUGAAGGUAGGCAGAUAGGUGGUUCUCUAGGAAUUGCCAGUCAGCCAGACUUGACUAUUAGGUGAGGUCCAGGCCAGUGAGAGCUUUGGAUCAAACAUUUAGUUGAAAAGAGGGAGGAUGGAUUAUAUGAGCAAGCAGGGGGGGCGGGGAGGAGGCACAUUUAGGAUCAUGAUGGGGAAACCCACAGAGUCAGCUGACCAUAGCUCAUGGGAUCUCAUGGCCUCUGGAUAGUCAGCUGGGGACCCUUCCCCUGGUGGUAAGACCAAGAGCUAUCCCUGGUGCAUGAAAUGGCUUUUCGGAGCCCAUUCCCUAUGGUGGGAUGCCUUACUCAGUCUUGAUGCAGCAGGGAGGGGCUUGGUUCUGCCAUAACUUUAUGUGUGGGGCUUUGUUGACUCCCCAUGGGAGGCCUUGCCCUUUCUGGGGAGUGGAUGGGCAGAUGGUUUAGAGCAGGAGGAAAGGAGGCAGAACUAUGUUUGGUAUGGAAAACUAUUAGAAAUUUAAAAUAAAAUAUAAAACACAUGUAUCUACACAUGUAUGCAUGUAGUGCAUGGGUGUAUUUAAUGUGUAUGGGUGUUUGUACAUGUACACAUGCAUACACACACACUUGAACAUAGUCAGGCAUUGAAGCUAAUGUACUUGUAUCUUGUAUCUAAGCCAAUUAUAUUUCUUCCUUAGCUAUGACUAAUAUAAACUAAUGUGGUGUUUAACAACAUAUAUAUGCAAAGAAUGUGCCCUUGUCACAACAUAGAAAAUGGAUUUGUUUUCUGAAGAAACUACACAAAAUCCCUAGAAGAAAAGGUACUAAGGGAAAGGAAGAGAAAGAGACCAAACUCAUGAAUUCACUGUGGCUUAAACGUGAAUGGAAUUUGGUCCAUGGCAGCAUCAUUACUUGAAAGUUAUAGCAAUGUAAUUCAGGACAAACUGAUCCUCUAAAUAAAAUGGGUCCACCUCAGGCAGGAGUUCAAAUAUGGUGGUGAAGAAGUAAUAUUCUGGGUGCAACUGUACUUUGACCCAUUCCAUGUUGUAUUAAUCUUUAAUUACAUGGUGAUAAUAAGCAUGUAUUUUCCAAAGUGAACAGUUGAGUCACUAUUGGUGGGUCUGUCCUUGAAGGAAAUUAGUCCAUUCUUAGUCCAUUGAUGGCCAAUGCUCUCUACUUAUGUUUUAUUUUGUUUUAAUAUUUUUUGUUAAAAUUUCAACAUUUAUUUUUUAUGUAUUUAAUAUAUAUAGAUGUUUUGCUUGUGUGUUUGUCUGUAUAUCACACACAUGUUUGGUACCUACAGAAGCCAGAAGAGGGCAUCAGAUCCCCUGAGAUUGGAGUUGUAGAUGGUUGUGAGCCUCCAGGUGGAUGCUGGGAGCUAAACCUGGAUCCUCCAUAAGAGCAACUAGUGGUCCUAACCACUCAGCAACCUGCCCAGCCCUGCGCUUAUGUUUUUAAUUAAAUGCUGAAAGAAAA